ensembl:lncRNA
UGUAGUGUGAAUACUGGGACAGGAAACUUGAAGCUGUACUUUGGAGCAGGGACCAGACUCACAGUUCACAAAUCUGAGGAUGAGGACCCGAGGUUCUACCAACUGGAGAAGGACGACACUCGACUCUGUCUCGCCACCGACUUCACUCGACACGACAAACUCAAAGACAACGAGCUCUUCAAAGAACAGAAUGGAACCUUCAUCGACCGAGAGAGCACUGACCCUGCAACCAAAGGCCUCUACAGCCAGGUGGCCUUCAUGUCCACUGGAGAUGAAGACAAGUGUGAAGAGUCCAGUGGUUUUAACGACAGUCUCCAGCCUGACUCUGUGGUGAACACUGUUUCUUUGACUGUUAUCGGACUCAGAAUUCUCUUCGUCAAAACCGUCGCCAUCAACGUCCUGGUCACACUGCGCCUCUGCAUCAGCCGCUAAAAUUUGUGACAACUUCAAGAGCAUCCAUCUUCCCCACAAGACAAUAAGAUCAGCGAAAACACAGGCUAUGUUCACAUGCACACCACAAAUCUGAUCAUAAUCUGAUUUCUGCAGUUAUCAGAUUACUGUUCCGUCUUAAUCUGAUUUCUGUAGUUAUCAGAUUACUGUUCCAUCAUAAUAUGAUUUCUGUAGUUAUCAGAUUACUGUUCCAUCAUAACCUGAUUUCUGUAAUUAUCAGAUUACUGUUCCAUCAUAACCUGAUUUCUGUAAUUAUCAGAUUACUGUUCCAUCAUAACCUGAUUUCUGUAAUUAUCAGAUUACUGUUCCACCAUAAUCUGAUUUUGGUUUUAUUAUUCACAUCUGUGCAGGUUUGGACAAGAAAAAAUAUGAAAAAAAUGCAAAAAAAAAACCCAAAACACCAAAUUCAGAUCUCGUUAUCUGAUUAUCCAAGUGAUCUGACCAGUGAACUGGCCAUGUGAAUGUACCCAGUGUCCAGAUGACCCAGUGAUUACAACAACUCAUAGAUCAGACACAAAUCAAAUAACUAUGACCAGAUAUGGUAUUUGCUCUCUGCUGCACAGAUCUGACCGGGGAUAUGUUAUUAUAGCUUUUAUGAACCUGUAUGUUAUUAUGUGUUCAUAUUCUUAAGUGUAAUUUACUGUUUAAAAUACAUGUGUAAAAAUGUGAAAGACGAGCUUCUGCAGAUCGUUUGUGCAUUUGGG